AAUGACUGGAUUGGCAAAAGUCUUGACAAGAGAGGCCAACAGAAACCAAAAGCCUUCACGACUGUAACUCAAUUUGUUUUCUGAGCUCAGAAGAGAAUGACACUGUGCUAGAUGGAUUUCAGUUGUCCUUCCAGAUCUGCUCUCCACUUCUCCACACUGGCCAGCACCCUUCAUGUGCUGCUCACAAAGCCGAGAGCCACAGAGGAGCACACGGGUUAGUGCACUAGCAACUGAAGUUAGGAAGGCUCGGGUGGACGCUGCCAACCAGCAAUCCAAUCUGCCUGAUGGCCAACCCUUUGACUGCUGGGAGCCUGGAGCUUUCUGAAUCAGACAACUUCCAGACUUCACAUGUGCUGCCAAGCACAAGAUAUAUUCUGGAAAAGAAGAGGAGGAGGAAGAAGAAUGACUGUAAAGGAAGGAGCAGUACUGUUUUCAUGAGGACCUACUAUGUGCCAGACAUUAUUCUAGGUGCUGGGGCUACCAUGGUUUGCUGGGGAGCACAAGAAGCUGCGAUUUUUGUUCUGCUGAUUUCCAUUAACACCCCCUACCCACCCCACCUUCACCCCUGGCAAAUAGACGCCGCUAAAUGGAGGGAAACUUGCAGCUACUUGGGAGGCUAAGGUGGGAAGAUCGCUUGAGCCCAGGAGGUCGAGGCUGCGGUGAACCAAGAUUGUGACACUGCACUCCAGCCUGGGCAACAGAUGCUGUGUGAAGAUGAAGGCAGAGAUCAGGCUGAUGCUUAUGGAAAGCCAGAGAUUGCCAACAAACCACCAAAAGCUAGGAGAGAGGCCUGGAACAGAUUCUCUCUGAGUCCUCAGAAGGAACCAACCCUGCCAACACUGUGAUCUUGGACUUCUAAACCCCAGAACUGUGAAAUAAUAAAUGUCUGAUGUC
rnacentral:lncRNA from 1 species